CUUCUUUCCCUUUCUUUUCUUUUCCUCUCCUAUUUUCCUUCUUCUCUCGUUUCCCUCAUGCACGCCCGGCUUCCAGCCCUUCCCCUUUCAUCUUCUCACCUCGUCACACACCCACACACCGAGACACAGAGAGAUAGAGACCAUGAGAGAGAGAGAGAGAGACAGAGAGAGAGAUUGAGUGAGAGACUGAGACGAAGAGAGAGGUCCAACCGAGAGAGACCCAAUCCAUGAGAGUGAGAUGCUGUCCGACUACAAAAAAGAAGAAGGAGAAGAACCCAAAGAAGAGUUUCUGCCUUUGAGAACAAAAACUGUCCAGCCGCGCGCAUAUGGUUUUGAUCUCUCUCUCUCUCUCUCUCUCUCUCUCUCUCUCUCUCUCAUUUUGUUUCUCUCUAGCGCCACGAAAUUCCCUCCAGUAAGCCGCACAGUACCAUUGCCAUCCCACUGUGUACGCAACAAGCUCUUCCCAACUCGCCUCCAUCGAACCCCUGCAACAUCAUUAACUAGGUGAACAUCAGACAGGAAACCAUGAUAGAAACCGUUGUGAACUUUGUCAUCAACGAGCUGGUUCAGUUAAUCCUUCAUGAAUCAAAAUUGCUAUGGGGUGUCCACUAGCAAGUUGUAGACAUUAGAGAUGAACUGGAGAGCAUCCAAUUUUUUGUCAAAGAUACAGAUAAAGGAGGAGACCUCCAAGAUGGUGUCAAAACGUGGGUGAAACAAGUGAGAGAAGUAGCAUGUCAUAUAGAUGAUGUAAUAGAUGAAUACGUUCUUCAUGUGGCACAACAUCUUCACCAGCAAAGUUCUAUUGCUUUUCGACAACAAAUUGGCCGUUUAUUGAAAAAAAUAAAACCACAUCAUGACAUAGCUACCAAGAUUCAAGAUAUCAAAAUAUCAGUAUGUGAAAUCAAGGAACGAAGUGAAAGAUAUGGUUUAAGUUCCUCAGAUCAAGGAUCAAUUAGCAGAGCAACAAAUGUUACAUGGCAUGACCCUCGAGUGGGUUCAAGCAUAAUGUCUUGGAAUUCUUCUAACAUCGAUUGCAUUGUCUCGGGAAAUUCUUGUGAGAUGGAGCUCAGGGUUCCCUCCAUCACCAAUGCUAUGAUGUCUCGGGCAUCCUUAACUUCUUCUAUAAAUUAUGAUCGAGUGGAUAGGAGGACUGGCUUACCCUUGGAAUGAGCAGAAUUUUCGAGUUCUUGUAAGGGUCGAAAUGUUAUCUUCCGACCAUCCAAAAGAUAGUGUAGAUGUUAGCUCUUCCCUGCUGCUGGGCAUCCACGUCAAACUGCCAAGGUCUUUCUAGGAUUAAGUGGCAUGCGUCUAUCUCCAGUACAUCACACAAAAUAGAAUCCGAGUAAUG